GAUGAACGCUGGCGGCGUGCUUAACACAUGCAAGUCGAGCGAUGAAGUUUCCUUCGGGAAAUGGAUUAGCGGCGGACGGGUGAGUAACACGUGGGUAACCUGCCUUUCACAAAGGAAUAGCCUCGGGAAACUGGGAAUAAUACCUUAUGAUACUUCUACUUCACAUGAAGAAGAAGUUAAAGCGUAAAGCGGUGAAAGAUGGUCUCGCGUCCCAUUAGCUAGUUGGUGAGGUAAUAGCUCACCAAGGCGACGAUGGGUAGCCGGCCUGAGAGGGUGAUCGGCCACAUUGGGACUGAGACACGGCCCAG
rnacentral:rRNA from 1 species